rnacentral:rRNA from 1 species
AAAAGGUCCUCCUGUUUUUCGAAAAUUGUACCCGCAGUCCAAGUUAGAAAACAUCUGGGCCCAAGCCUGUCGAGCGCCGCCCGUACGCUGCACCCGCAGCCACGCACUCGAGGCCGAGCUCCCGAGCGUGCCGCCGCCUCGACCUCGCGACCCGCCGGCGACCGGAUCCUCGCCGGAGAUGAGUGCCGACGUGCCCUGCUCCCUCCUCUCUUCCUCUGUCUCCUCUCACCUCGCUCAUCCCCCAAUCUCUCUGUCCCCAGGACGAACAGGAGCAUGCCAUGGCCUCGGAUCCGCGCCGCCGUCGCCGGAGAACGUCGCCCGCCACCGGUUCUUCGACCACAACUACCGGAUCAAGUUGCCCCGCCUCCGAUCUACCCGUUCCCGGCCACCCCAACCUCGCCUCAUCAUUGGGCGCGCAGAGAGACGGCCAUGGCCGCCCGAUUGCCGAGCGCCGCCGGCCAAGGUGGCUGCCCGAUGCACGAGCGCCGCCGGCCAAGGACCCGCCGGCGUCCAUAUCCCCUCCACGCCAUCCCCAUCUCGCCGGAGACCUGCUCCAAGUCUGGCCGCCCUCCAAACAGUACUCGCUAGGUGCUUGACGAAAUUCCCAUAUGAUGCAUGUGGCAAGGUUCCUAGAGGAUAAUGUAGAUUAAUGAUUCCAUGGAGAGCUGCCAGAAUCUUCAAUUGGAGGCAAUUAAAGACGGACCUCACCGGAUUGGAUUUGUCUAGCAUUCCAGCUAAGUUUCAAGGUAGCUUUAAGACUCCAUGCAAACAAUCACUGAUUAGUAGGUAGUAGGCAUGCAGUUUCAGUUAAACCGAAGCUUAAUCCACAUACAUUGUUCACUGGAGGUAUCCGUGCCAUUACACUCAUCCCUCUGUUAUGAGGCCUGGGAUAAUGUUUACUUGUGAUUCACAAAAUGGAAGUAUGUGCUAUAUCUUUGUAUGAAAUUAAGGAAACAUGUCACGUUCAUUGUCGCCUGGUUUAUGGUAACUGGUGUUGCCCCCUCCCUUGGAAUCUCUCAGAUCUAUGGCAUAGCCAGUUCUCCAUCCCGCAGUUUUCGCAUGUUGCAACGCACUGGCUCUUUUGUAGGACCACCGUCGACAUAGACAAGCUCUGCUUCAAGGACGAGACAUAGAAGAAGGCUCGACAAGAGGAAGGAAGCAGGUGUGGUUUAGCAACGUACCUCAUACAUGGUUGGUUGCUGACAAAGGAGGGCAGAAUUGGAUUACAAAGGCUAAAGAUGGUACCAUCUGGCUCUCGCACUAGAGUUUUUCUGGAUGUUGGCUUUGGAGUAACAAGUUUUGGGCCAUACUUAAUUUCACGUGAAUUUGAGCAUGGUGUUCCUGCAAUGGUGGCAACUAAUUUAACACCGGCUAUUAUCCAAUGUUCCCGCUGUAGAAUAAAUUCGACAUGUGAUGGUGAGCUGAGAGAUGGAGGACCUAGCUCUCAAACGGACCAUGUUGGGAGAUUGUGAGGAAAAUAUGUUUCUAUGUGGAGGAAGCCUUUUAUAAUUAACUCAUGGUACAUGAGUCGUGAUCCUAGGGUCAAACAUCCACUUUGUGAUACUGAUGAUAAUUCCAGAUAAUGUCUGGUAUUUUGAACCCCACCUGGCAUGCUUUUAAUUGUUAAGCCUCAAUUCAAGGACUAAAUUCAGAAUAUGUAUUAAGAAAGUAGUCCAUACUUUUUUUAGAUUUGUUUUGAACAUUUGCAUAAUUAUGCAAUUAUCUCUUGCAAAGUGUAGUCUCAUGAUUUCGACUUAUUUUUUUGUUGAUGAGUGAAUGUGUGAUACGUAACUGGCUUCUGCUUUGCCAGGCUGCAAAAUCCAUAGCUCAGAUGCAAGAAACUUUAUUAUCAAGCCGUUUUCUACACACGACUAAUUUUGUUACUACUUUCCAUUAUUGCGUGCCGAUCAUGCUAUGUUUAUGAGCCUCUAGCUAACAAGGCUUGCUCCCAGCUGCAACCUUGAACUGUAGAGGUUUCAGCUUCCUGAUGGCUGAUUUUUUGUGUCUUUCUUUUGUUUAUGUUCACAAGGUGUACCUGCGAGUUUUAUGGAAUGGAGAUGAAAUCUUUUGCACGGCUGGAAAUAGGUAAUUAGGUAUUUGAAGGUGAACA